GAACUAUUUAUUUAACUAAGUUGACUAAGAGCGAACUGUAUUUUGGAAUUCUUUAUUAUUUUAUAUUUUAAUCUUUUCUAUUAAUUUUGUUUCAGCCUUUAUUUCUGCUGGCUUAUCAUAUGCUUGACGCCUCCAGAAAUGGGCUUUCGGUUCUCUUUGCUUUUUUCCCACACACCGAGAGACGGCAAAUUAAGCCACAACAAAUUUGACCUUGUUAAGUUUUGCUCAAACAGUCCGCAAAGCACCAACAAAAACCCAAGAGCAAGAAAAAAAGUAAACGAAAUACGAAAUAAAAGCAGAAAGGAGCAAAAAUCAAGCAAGGCGUCUCGCAGAUUCCCAGCAUUGUUUAACGACCCGACCCGCUCACAUGGCCGAGCGUCGACAGGGCCGUUGCCUACCUCAGUUUGUGGCUUGUUGUUUGUGUGGCUGGCUGAUCAAUGGGCAGUGCCGGCAUCGGGAUGCUGCAUCCACCGGGCAUCCACGCUCAAUCCACUCAUAAGUCACGCCGUCGUUUUGUAUCCACAUCCACCGAGUCUGUGUGUGAAGCGAGGGCGGUGCUUGAUAAGUGCGCAACCUGCUGCAUGUGUUCCGAGGGUCUGUUGUCUGGCUCCACUUGUGGGAGACUUACAGAGACGGAAAAUUUACACAGCGUUUGUGUAUGUGCAAAAUAUAUUGUAAUUGUCGUCAUUUAUUCCUAAGCGAUAUCAUAUAAUAUAAGCUGAGUGUGUUGCUGGGCAUAAAUUAUUGCCAAAGUUGCGGAAAUUGAUAGAUAGCUUAUAAUAUGGAUGGUAUAUGUGAAUCGAAGAAUUUUAGUAGGCAUUUCUUUCGAGUAUUCAAGAUAGACAUAAUUCGUCUAUAAGAUUUACCUGUAUGUUUAUUUUUCAUAUCCAUUCAUAUGUGUUUUAUAUUUCUAUUUGAGCAUUAAAAAAAUAAUAGUCAAAUCUAUAUUUCGUUUUAUAGAAAUACCCAUAGUAUUCCCCAUUUCACAAAUGUGAAUAUUUUCCAGGUAACAGAAAAUUCUUAUAUAUGCUCGAGAAAAUUCCUUGCAUUUCUGCGUGCAUAAUAUAGUAAUCAAUAAAUCACAACUAAUUGUAUGUAUACCGGUGUAUGUGUGUGCGAGUGUGUGUAUAAAGUGUUAACAUUUUCAUAACAUUCAAUUAACUGCAUCGACGGCCCACUGCAAGGGUUCUUGCUCAAAGAGUCCGCCACGGCGCAUCACGACACCAUCUAUGGGCAACAAAAGCAACUACAACAGCAAUAGCAACAACAACAACAGCAGAAAUAACCACAGCCUACAAUAAAGUGCAAGAGCGCAAUGUAAAGAUAAAACGCAACAACAAAGGCGAAGACAGUGUUGGAAAAAGAGCAGCAGCAAAAGCAAAUGAGCAAAAAAAAAAAAAAAAACAAAAACAACUACAAGGAAUCCCAGCGAAAAGAGCGCAACGAUCGCCUUCUGCCAUGUGUAUGUGUGCGUGUGCGCGUGCGUGUGUAUGCAUAUGGAGAAGACGGCGAUGAUGCGACGAUGUGAUUGAAACAAAACAUCUUAUUAUUACCUACGACCGAGGAGCAGCAAAAAGAACGACCCCGUGCGACCUCGAUGUGGACCUGGGACAUGUACCAAAGGCAGCCAGGUACUGACUGGCCAGCAACAAAAAAUACGAGGAGCGUGCAAAAACAACAAAUUCCCACGCUCAGAGGCUGCCCUUUGUCCGACGUCUUCGUUGUUGUCGUUGUCUUUCGUGCCCCUCCCUUCUCCACACAGCCCGCCCCAUAUAAGGCGCAAGCUGGGAAACGUCCUUACCGCCCCAUUCGAAGAUUGUGCGAAAGCUGACCCGGCAGUGCCGAAAAAAAAAAUGUUUGCGGCUUUCUUCUCCCCGUUCCUCUCUCUUGGGCUCUAUCAUUCUUACGCUCCAUAUCUGUCUCUCUCGCUCACUCACUCAAGCAAAUGUUUGGCUUUUUGUUGUAGGCAGUUUUGUGAUUGAUUUCACUUUGGUUUCUCGGUAUGCCUUUUGACUUUCACAGCUCAUUGGGCUCAUUGGGCUCGCAAUGUCGCUCACACGAUAAUGCAGACUACACACAUAUAUACGAGCACACACACACACAUAUAAUUUUAUGUAAAGCAAGGCAUCCUCCACAGAUUCACUCGGACACAAGCUCUGGUAUACGGACAGGUUGAAUAUUGACAGGUAUCAAGUGGUGAACGCUCAUAAUUAUAGUAUUUAGUGGGGUACUCAUGCGAAGAAUGAUCAAUUAUAUGAUCAUUAGUUUUGAUCAAGUUGCAAAAUUUAACGAUGUUUUUGAAGAAAGAAGAAAUUUAAAUUUUCCAUAAUAUUUAAUACAUUUUUUUGUAAAUAUUUUUAAUAGGCAUAUGUUCAACUAAUUCUAUAUAAUCAUUGAUUUAUUUUAAAACUAGAUUAAGUUACCACUAAAGCUCGCAAAAACCUUUUUCUUUU